rnacentral:rRNA from 1 species
CAUGGUUGUCGUCAGCUCGUGUCGUGAGAUGUUGGGUUAAGUCCCGCAACGAGCGCAACCCUUGUCUUAUGUUGCCAGCACGUGAUGGUGGGGACUCAUGAGAGACUGCCGGGGUUAACUCGGAGGAAGGUGGGGAUGACGUCAAAUCAUCAUGCCCCUUAUGUCCAGGGCUUCACACAUGCUACAAUGGUCGGUACAACGCGUGUGCGACACUGUGAGGUGAAGCUAAUCGCUCUAAAGCCGGUCGUAGUUCGGAUUGGGGUCUGCAACUCGACCCCAUGAAGUCGGAGUCGCUAGUAAUCGCAGAUCAGCAACGCUGCGGUGAAUACGUUCCCGGGCCUU